CCUACGGGAGGCAGCAGUAGGGAAUCUUCGGCAAUGGACGGAAGUCUGACCGAGCAACGCCGCGUGAGUGAAGAAGGUUUUCGGAUCGUAAAGCUCUGUUGUAAGAGAAGAACGAGUGUGAGAGUGGAAAGUUCACACUGUGACGGUAUCUUACCAGAAAGGGACGGCUAACUACGUGCCAGCAGCCGCGGUAAUACGUAGGUCCCGAGCGUUGUCCGGAUUUAUUGGGCGUAAAGCGAGCGCAGGCGGUUAGAUAAGUCUGAAGUUAAAGGCUGUGGCUUAACCAUAGUACGCUUUGGAAACUGUUUAACUUGAGUGCAAGAGGGGAGAGUGGAAUUCCAUGUGUAGCGGUGAAAUGCGUAGAUAUAUGGAGGAACACCGGUGGCGAAAGCGGCUCUCUGGCUUGUAACUGACGCUGAGGCUCGAAAGCGUGGGUAGCAAACAGGAUUAGAUACCCCAGUAGUC
rnacentral:rRNA from 1 species